CGUCCCCUUCUCAGUUCCGGGAUCGCCCUAAUUUCUCAGUUCCAGCCACGCAGUUCAGCCACGGCUGCAGGAAGAUGAUGUAGCAUAAAGGACGACCUCAGUGUUUACAGACACCGCGUCACAGCGCUCUUCACUGUUGGGAUGAGGACAUCAUACUCAACGCGCCAGAGCGUCCUGCAGAUCUUGGUGUCAAACAGCAGGGCAACUGCCAUGAGGAUGACUGCGGUCAGGGUGGACCUGUGGAUGUGGUGGAAGAGUGAGGUGGGGGCCCCGUAA
rnacentral:lncRNA from 1 species